rnacentral:rRNA from 1 species
CGAACGCUGGCGGCGUGCUUAACACAUGCAAGUCGAACGGACAGGCCCUGCUUUUGUGGGGUGCUCGAGUGGCGAACGGGUGAGUAACACGUGAGUAACCUGCCCUUGACUUUGGGAUAACUUCAGGAAACUGGGGCUAAUACCGGAUAGGAGCUCCUGCUGCAUGGUGGGGGUUGGAAAGUUUCGGCGGUUGGGGAUGGACUCGCGGCUUAUCAGCUUGUUGGUGGGGUAGUGGCUUACCAAGGCUUUGACGGGUAGCCGGCCUGAGAGGGUGACCGGCCACAUGGGGACUGAGAUACGGCCCAGACUCCUACGGGAGGCAGCAGUGGGGAAUAUUGCACAAUGGGCGGAAGCCUGAUGCAGCAACGCCGCGUGCGGGAUGACGGCCUUCGGGUUGUAAACCGCUUUCGCCUGUGACGAAGCGUGAGUGACGGUAAUGGGUAAAGAAGCACCGGCUAACUACGUGCCAGUAGCCGCGGUGAUACGUAGGGUGCGAGCGUUGUCCGGAUUUAUUGGGCGUAAAGGGCUCGUAGGUGGUUGAUCGCGUCGGAAGUGUAAUCUUGGGGCUUAACCCUGAGCGUGCUUUCGAUACGGGUUGACUUGAGGAAGGUAGGGGAGAAUGGAAUUCCUGGUGGAGCGGUGGAAUGCGCAGAUAUCAGGAGGAACACCAGUGGCGAAGGCGGUUCUCUGGGCCUUUCCUGACGCUGAGGAGCGAAAGCGUGGGGAGCGAACAGGCUUAGAUACCCUGGUAGUCCACGCUGUAAACGGUGGGUACUAGGUGUGGGGUCCAUUCCACGGGUUCCGUGCCGUAGCUAACGCUUUAAGUACCCCGCCUGGGGAGUACGGCCGCAAGGCUAAAACUCAAAGGAAUUGACGGGGCCCCGCACAAGCGGCGGAGCAUGCGGAUUAAUUCGAUGCAACGCGUAGAACCUUACCUGGGUUUGACAUGGAUCGGGAGUGCUCAGAGAUGGGUGUGCCUCUUUUGGGGUCGGUUCACAGGUGGUGCAUGGCUGUCGUCAGCUCGCGUCGUGAGAUGUUGGGUUAAGUCCCGCAACGAGCGCAACCCUUGUUCACUGUUGCCAGCACGUUAUGGUGGGGACUCAGUGGAGACCGCCGGGGUCAACUCGGAGGAAGGUGGGGAUGACGUCAAGUCAUCAUGCCCCUUAUGUCCAGGGCUUCACGCAUGCUACAAUGGCUGGUACAGAGAGUGGCGAGCCUGUGAGGGUGAGCGAAUCUCGGAAAGCCGGUCUCAGUUCGGAUUGGGGUCUGCAACUCGACCUCAUGAAGUCGGAGUCGCUAGUAAUCGCAGAUCAGCAACGCUGCGGUGAAUACGUUCCCGGGGCUUGUACACACCGCCCGUCAAGUCAUGAAAGUUGGUAACACCCGAAGCCGGUGGCCUAACCGUUGUGGGGGAGCCGUCGAAGGUGGGACUGGA